AACGAACGCUGGCGGCAUGCCUAACACAUGCAAGUCGAACGAGACCUUCGGGUCUAGUGGCGCACGGGUGCGUAACGCGUGGGAACCUGCCCUUAGGUUCGGAAUAACUCCCCGAAAGGGGUGCUAAUACCGGAUAAUGUCUUCGGACCAAAGAUUUAUCGCCUUUGGAUGGUCCCGCGUUGGAUUAGCUAGUUGGUAGGGUAAAAGCCUACCAAGGCGACGAUCCAUAGCUGGUCUGAGAGGAUGAUCAGCCACACUGGGACUGAGACACGGCCCAGACUCCUACGGGAGGCAGCAGUGGGGAAUAUUGGACAAUGGGCGAAAGCCUGAUCCAGCAAUGACGCGUGAGUGAUGAAGGCAUUAGGGUUGUAAAGCUCUUUUAACCGGGAUGAUAAUGACAGUACCGGGAGAAUAAGCUCCGGCUAACUCCGUG
rnacentral:rRNA from 1 species